rnacentral:rRNA from 1 species
AUUGAACGCUGGCGGCAGGCCUAACACAUGCAAGUCGAGCGAGCGGCGGACGGGUUAGUAAUGUAUGGGGACUGCCCGAUAGAGGGGGAUAACUACUGGAAACGGUAGCUAAUACCGCAUACUCUCGGAUAACCCAUAUGUGAUUAGCUAGUAGGUGCGGUGAUGGCUCAACUAGGCGACGAUCCCUAGCUGGUCUGAGAGGAUGACCAGCCACACUGGGACUGAUACACGGCCCAGAAUCCUGCGGAGGCAGCAGUGGGGAAUUUUGGACAGUGGGGGAAACCCGGAUCCAGCCAUCCCGCGGGUAUGAUGAAGGCCUUCGGGUUGUAAAGUACUUAUGGCAGAGAAGCGGUAUCUGCAGAAUAAGCACCGGCUAACUACGUGCCAGCAGCCGCGGUAAUUC